GUAGCAACCCUCUCCCAAGUCCCUCCCUCCCCAUUGGCCAAACUGUGGGCCGCGCGCCCCCCUCCAUUGGCUACAGCCGGGGACCCCUUCCCGCAGCAGAUUCCCCAUUGGCUGAAGCCGGGGACCGCGAGACCCUUCGUGGUAAUGGAGCCGGGGACCCCGAUAACCUCUCCACCCCCCCUCCAGCUCCCCAGGCCGACGGCACUGGCGGGAUGCGCCCCGCCUCUCCUUGAGGCCGGAGCCCCGAGCCCUGACUAGGCCCUGGGCGCUGACCACGGCCCUCAAGUGCUCUGGUGGCCGCCCGGGGACCCCUUUCCCUUCAACCUGUUGGGACCGGAAGGGGCCCAACCCCAGCAUCACGGGGGCUCCCCGUCUCCCCGGUUCUCCUCAAAGAUACUAGGCUGGGGGUCCGCCCCGCGCAACCGAGCCGCCGCCUCCUGCCGGUAGCCGCGGCUCCCUCGCCCGGAAGCCCACCCCUUCUCACCUGGCGCUGCCCAUGGCGGCUGCCCCUGGCCUCUCCUGAUGCUGCGGCGGCGGCGGCGGCGCCAAGAUGCCUUCGGCUCCCCGGCGGAGUCCACUCCCGGCAGCGGCCGCAGGCCCCAGGCAGGGAGAAGCGGCCGGAGGCGGCCCUGGGGGAGCCGAGGUGGUGGCCAGCGGCCCCGGGAGGCCGCCGUUAGUCUGGCGGCCGCUGUAGCUUCACAAUGAGCGUGUGAAGCGCUGGGGGAGGAGCCGAAGCAGCUGAGAGGAAGGACCGGCCGCUCCGCCUACGCCGCCGGCGUAACGUCGGGAUGCCUCCGCAGAGUGUGAGAUGUCACGGCGUAGCGUGAGGUUCUUCCGCCACCUUGGGUGCUCGUGGGCGGGGUCUUAAGCCUCAAAAAAGUUCCCGGGACGGAACUGCUGUUUUUGGCAGGUGGUAGGUUUUGUAAGGAGCUGCUUACCACCUUAUGUGCUUUAAAUAAAAGACUGAUGAGCAUUGAAGUGA